rnacentral:rRNA from 1 species
GAUGAACGCUGGCGGCGUGCCUAAUACAUGCCAGUCGAGCGAACGGACUAGAAGCUUGCUUCUCUGAUGUUAGCGGCGGACGUGUGAGUAACACGUGGAUAACCUACCUAUAAGACUGGGAUAACUUCGGGAAACCGGAGCUAAUACCGUAUAAUAUUUUGAACCGCAUGGUUCAAAAGUGAAAGACGGUCUUGCUGUCACUUAUAGAUGGAUCCGCGCUGCAUUAGCUAGUUGGUAAGGUAACGGCUUACCAAGGCAACGAUGCAUAGCCGACCUGAGAGGGUGAUCGGCCAGACUGGAACUGAGACACGGUCCAGACUCCUACGGGAGGCAGCAGUAGGGAAUCUUCCGGAAUGGGCGAAAGCCUGACGGAGCAACGCCGCGUGAGUGAUGAAGGUCUUCGGAUCGUAAAACUCUGUUAUUAGGGAAGAACAUAUGUGUAAGUAACUGUGCACAUCUUGACGGUACCUAAUGAGAAAGCCCCGGCUAACUACGUG